AUUGAACGCUGGCGGAAUGCUUUACACAUGCAAGUCGAGCGGCAGCACGGGGGCAACCCUGGUGGCGAGCGGCGAACGGGUGAGUAACACAUCGGAACAUGCCCAGUCGUGGGGGAUAACACUUCGAAAGAAGUGCUAAUACCGCAUACGUCCUGAGGGAGAAAGCGGGGGAUCGCAAGACCUCGCGCGAUUGGAGUGGCCGAUGUCAGAUUAGCUAGUUGGUGGGGUAAAGGCCUACCAAGGCAACGAUCUGUAGCUGGUCUGAGAGGAUGAUCAGCCACACUGGGACUGAGACACGGCCCAGACUCCUACGGGAGGCAGCAGUGGGGAAUUUUGGACAAUGGGGGCAACCCUGAUCCAGCCAUUCCGCGUGAGUGAAGAAGGCCUUCGGGUUGUAAAGCUCUUUCGGCAGGAACGAAACGGUGAGCUCUAACAUAGCUUGCUAAUGACGGCACCUGAAGAAGAAGCACCGGCUAACUACGUG
rnacentral:rRNA from 1 species